rnacentral:lncRNA from 1 species
CCCUACUGGUAUGCCCAUCUGUCUCAAAAUGGCAUGGCAUUUUUCUGAAGAUAUUAUCAGUUGGCUUUUCAUGGCAAAACCAGACUUGUGUAGAGAUAAAAGUAAAAAGUCCAUGAUUUAUUUUAUUUUUUUAUUUUUAUUUUUUUUUGGUAUAUAACAGUUUAACUAUUCUGAGAAAAUGGAAGAUAAAGAACCAGACAAUUUUUUUUUUU